rnacentral:rRNA from 1 species
GACGAACGCUGGCGGCGUGCUUAACACAUGCAAGUCGAACGGUGAAGCGCCUUCCUUUUUGGUGGGUGUGGAUGAGUGGCGAACGGGUGAGUAACACGUGAGUAACCUGCCCCCUUCUUCUGGAUAACCGCAUGAAAGUGUGGCUAAUACGGGAUAUUCUGGGUCUGUCGCAUGAUGGGUCUGGGAAAGAUAUUGUUUCGGUGGGGGAUGGGCUCGCGGCCUAUCAGCUUGUUGGUGGGGUGAUGGCCUACCAAGGCGGUGACGGGUAGCCGGCCUGAGAGGGUGGACGGUCACACUGGGACUGAGACACGGCCCAGACUCCUACGGGAGGCAGCAGUGGGGAAUAGUGCACAAUGGGCGGAAGCCUGAUGCAGCGACGCCGCGUGAGGGAUGGAGGCCUUCGGGUUGUGAACCUCUUUCGCCAGUGAAGCAGGCCUGCCUCGUUUGUGGGUGGGUUGACGGUAGCUGGAUAAGAAGCGCCGGCUAACUACGUG